UCCAGUGGAAUCAGAUGGCAUCAUUGUGU
rnacentral:piRNA from 1 species